rnacentral:misc_RNA from 1 species
GAUGAAGAACGCAGCGAAAUGCGAUAAGUAGUGUGAAUUGCAGAAUUCCGUGAAUCAUCGAAUCUUUGAACGCACAUUGCGCCCCUUGGUAUCCCGAGGGGCAUGCCUGUUCGAGCGUCAUUUCACCACUCAAGCCUGGCUUGGUGUUGGGCGACGUCCCCUUUGGGGACGCGCCUCGAAACGCUCGGCGGCGUGGCACCGGCUUUAAGCGUAGCAGAAUCUUUCGCUUUGGAAGUCGGGGCCCCGUCUGCCGGAAGACCUACUCGCAAGGUUGACCUCGGAUCAGGCAGGGAUACCCGCUGAACUUAAGCAUAUCAAUAAGCGGAGGA